GACGAACGCUGGCGGCGUGCUUAACACAUGCAAGUCGAACGCUGAAGCCUAGCUUGCUGGGUGGAUGAGUGGCGAACGGGUGAGUAACACGUGAGUAACCUGCCCCCUUCUUUGGGAUAACGCCCGGAAACGGGUGCUAAUACUGGAUAUUCACUGAUCUUCGCAUGGGGGUUGGUGGAAAGGUUUUUUCUGGUGGGGGAUGGGCUCGCGGCCUAUCAGCUUGUUGGUGGGGUGAUGGCCUACCAAGGCUUUGACGGGUAGCCGGCCUGAGAGGGUGACCGGUCACAUUGGGACUGAGAUACGGCCCAGACUCCUACGGGAGGCAGCAGUGGGGAAUAUUGCACAAUGGGCGGAAGCCUGAUGCAGCGACGCCGCGUGAGGGAUGGAGGCCUUCGGGUUGUAAACCUCUUUCGCUCAUGGUCAAGCCGCAACGUAUGGUUGUGGUGAGGGUAGUGGGUAAAGAAGCGCCGGCUAACUACGUGCCAGCAGCCGCGGUAAUACGUAGGGCGCGAGCGUUGUCCGGAAUUAUUGGGCGUAAAGGGCUUGUAGGCGGUUGGUCGCGUCUGCCGUGAAAUCCUCUGGCUUAACUGGGGGCGUGCGGUGGGUACGGGCUGACUUGAGUGCGGUAGGGGAGACUGGAACUCCUGGUGUAGCGGUGGAAUGCGCAGAUAUCAAGAAGAACACCGGUGGCGAAGGCGGGUCUCUGGGCCGUUACUGACGCUGAGAAGCGAAAGCGUGGGGAGCGAACAGG
rnacentral:rRNA from 1 species